UACGUAGGGGGCAAGCGUUGUCCGGAUUUAUUGGGCGUAAAGAGCGUGUAGGCGGCCAUGCAGGUCAGCUGUGAAAACUCGAGGCUCAACCUCGAGACGUCGGUUGAAACCGCAUGGCUAGAGUCCGGAAGAGGAGAGUGGAAUUCCCGGUGUAGCGGUGAAAUGCGCAGAUAUCGGGAAGAACACCCGUGGCGAAGGCGGCUCUCUGGGACGGUACUGGCGCUGAGACGCGAAAGCGUGGGGAGCGAACAGG
rnacentral:rRNA from 1 species